CCUACGGGAGGCAGCAGUGGGGAAUUUUGGACAAUGGGCGCAAGCCUGAUCCAGCUAUUCCGCGUGUGGGAAGACGGCCUUAGGGUUGUAAACCACUUUUGUUGAAGACGAAAAGUCGAGCGAGUAUACCUUUAGAUGUUGACGGUAUUCAAAGAGUAAGCAUCGGCUAACUACGUGCCAGCAGCCGCGGUAAUACGUAGGGUGCGAGCGUUAAUCGGAUUUACUGGGCGUAAAGGGUGCGCAGGUGGUGUUGCAAGUUUGAUGUGAAAGCCCUCGGCUUAACCGGAGAAAGGCAUACGUGACUGGAAGACUUGAGUGCAGCAGAGGGGGGUGGAACUCCAAGUGUAGCGGUGAAAUGCGUAGAUAUUUGGAAGAACACCGAUGGCGAAGGCAGCCCCCUGGGACGCAACUGACGCUGAUGCACGAAAGCGUGGGGAGCAAACAGGAUUAGAUACCCCAGUAGUC
rnacentral:rRNA from 1 species